CUUCGGAGGGGGCUAGCGUUGUUCGGAAUUACUGGGCGUAAAGCGUACGUAGGCGGACUGAUCAGUUGGGGGUGAAAUCCCAGGGCUUAACCCUGGAACUGCCUUCAAUACUGUCAGUCUUGAGAUUGGAAGAGGUGAGUGGAAUUCCUAGUGUAGAGGUGAAAUUCAUAGAUAUUAGGAGGAACACCAGUGGCGAAGGCGGCUCACUGGUCCAAUACUGACGCUGAGGUACGAAAGCGUGGGGAGCAAACAGGAUUAGAAACCCUAGUAGUCC
rnacentral:rRNA from 1 species